rnacentral:misc_RNA from 1 species
GACAAAGAGAGGCGUCAAGCACAUUGUGCUGAUGUAGGUUCGCACUUACUGGAGAGAUUGAGAGCUCUCCAGGAAAAAUAUGAAAUCAUAGGAGAUGUACGAGGAAGGGGAUUAAUGGUAGGUGUAGAACUUGUAACUGACCGGAAGGAAAAAACCCCAGCAAAGACCGAAACUGCAGCGUUGUUCGAGAAACUAAGAGAACUGGGUGUUCUCGUCGGGAAAGGGGGUCUGCAUGGCAAUGUAUUUCGAAUAAAGCCCCCCAUGUGUUUCACCAAAG